CCUACGGGUGGCAGCAGUGAGGAAUAUUGGUCAAUGGGCGAGAGCCUGAACCAGCCAAGUCGCGUGAGGGAAGACGGUCCUAUGGAUUGUAAACCUCUUUUGUCGGGGAGCAAAAAGGCCUCGUGAGGCCACAAGUGAGAUUACCCGAAGAAAAAGCAUCGGCUAACUCCGUUCCAGCAGCCGCGGUAAUACCGAGGAUGCGAGCGUUAUUCGGAUUUAUUGGGUUUAAAGGGUGCGUAGGCGGACUGGAAAGUCAGCGGUAAAAUCGGGGGGUUAAACCUCUUUCCGCCGUUGAAACUGUAGGCCUUGAGUGGGCAAGGAGUAUGCGGAAUGCGUGGUGUAGCGGUGAAAUGCAUAGAUAUCACGCAGAACUCCGAUUGCGAAGGCAGCAUACCGGGGCGCGACUGACGCUGAGGCACGAAAGCGUGGGUAUCGAACAGGAUUAGAUACCCUAGUAGUC
rnacentral:rRNA from 1 species